GGGAAGCCAACGAAAAAUCCACCAUGGAAACGGAAGCUCAACACUCGAAUCCUCAAAAUGAGGCUGCCAAUGCUGUUUCCAUCAACUCUUUCAUCGAGAUCACUUCCUCUUCCAAAGAGGAAGCCCUUUUCUUCUUAGAGAGCCACAAUUGGGACCUCGACGCCGCCGUUUCCACCUUCUUGGAUAACCAUGCUGCCGAUGCCGUCAACGCCACCGCCACCCGCCCAGUUCCACCCCCUGAUUCGCCUGAAUUUGCUCCUUCGCAGUCGCCAUCGCGUUCUCGCUCGCCUUCCCCACCUGCUUCUCGUGCUCCUUACGAGCUCCGUUCGAGGAGAGCGAGGGGUGAAUCGGAUAAGAAGGACGACAAUAGGGCUUCUGGUAGCAGGACGCGUCGCAUCCGCACCCUUUCUGACCUAAACCGGCCGGCGGAAGGGGACUCUGAUAGCGACUCUGAUGAGCUACAAGAGUAUUACACUGGUGGUGAGAAGAGUGGAAUGCUUGUCCAGGAUCCUGCCAAAGGUAAUUCUGUCGAUGCAAUUUUUGAUCAAGCCAGACAAUCAGCAGUCGAUGUACCUGUUGAACCAUCUUCAGCUUCUAAAAGCUUUACUGGAACUGCAAGAUUGCUCUCUGGGGAGACAGUGCCAUCAAUUCCUAGGCACCCAGAGGCUGUCACUCACACUGUCACUUUUUGGAGGAAUGGAUUCUCCGUUGAUGAUGGUCCUUUAAGGAGGUUGGAUGAUCCUGAAAAUGCACCAUUUUUAGAGAGUAUUCGUAGGUCAGAGUGCCCUGUAGAGCUUGAACCCGCAGAUAGGAGGACAUCUGUCCAUGUUAACCUCGUCCGAAGGGAGGAAGACUACCCAGAACCGGUGAAGCGCCGCCAUGCUCCAUUCCAAGGCGUUGGGAGAACCUUAGCUAGUGACUCAGCAAACUCGGUUGCUCCAGAGCGGACUUCUGCUGCUACUUCACUGAAUGUUGCUCCGUCCCCAUCAACAGGUUUGGUGGUAGACGACUCACUGCCAAUAACUUCUCUUCAGCUAAGGUUGGCAGAUGGGACACGAAUGGUCUCGCGGUUCAACCACCACCAUACAAUUAGGGACAUUCGUGGGUUCAUUGAUGCAUCAAGGCCUAGUGGUGCAAGAAAUUACCAACUCCAGACGAUGGGUUUCCCUCCCAAACAAUUGGCUGAAUUAGAUCAAACUAUCGAACAAGCUGGAAUAGCCAAUUCUGUUGUGAUUCAGAAAUUCUAACAUGCUGAAAAUCAUUCGACAGCGAAGGUUAGCGAACAUUGAAAACCAAGUUU
rnacentral:misc_RNA from 1 species